rnacentral:lncRNA from 1 species
AUAAAGUCUCUUCACCAUUGUUUCAACAUGAAGGUUUGUAAUAAAAAUUUGUUUCUAUCAGCAUUGCUUUGCAUUGCUAUUGCAGGAGUUUUGGGUCAAGCUCCUAGUAAUCCUCCUACGUCUACGCCGGCGCCACCCACACCACCGGCUUCUACUCCUCCUCCGACGACUCAACCACCGCCUACACCAACCGCCACUCCGCCACCAGUUUCUACUCCUCUUCCCACUUCAUCACCGCCCCCAGUGACAGCUUCUCCACCCCCAGUUUCAACUCCUCCACCCAGUUCUCCUCCUCCCGCAACUCCACCACCUGCUUCUCCACCUCCUGCAACUCCACCUCCAGCUUCUCCACCUCCUGCAACUCCACCUCCAGCUUCUCCACCUCCCGCCACUCCUCCACCAGCAACCCCCCCACCUGCAACUCCUCCUGCUACCCCACCACCAGCUCCAUUGGCUUCUCCUCCAGCCACAGUCCCAGCUAUCUCUCCAGUACAAACACCAUUGACCUCGCCACCAGCUCCGCCGACCGAGGCCCCAGCACCUACCCUCGGGGCUGCUACGCCA